rfam:Rattus norvegicus chromosome X, whole genome shotgun sequence.
GGUCUCAUGGUGUAAUGGUUAGCACUCUGGACUUUGAAUCCAGCGAUCCGAGUUCGAGUCUCGGUGAGGCCU